rnacentral:tRNA from 1 species
GCGGGUUUAGCUCAGUUGGGAGAGCGUCAGACUGAAGUUAAACUUACAGUUCUUAAUCUGAAGGUCAUGUGUUCGAUCCACAUAAACCGCA